rnacentral:rRNA from 1 species
AACGAACGCUGGCGGCAGGCUUAACACAUGCAAGUCGAGCGCCCCGCAAGGGGAGCGGCAGACGGGUGAGUAGCGCGUGGGAAUCUACCCAUCCCUACGGAAUAGCUCCGGGAAACUGGAAUUAAUACCGUAUACGCCCUACGGGGGAAAGAUUUAUCGGGGAUGGAUGAGCCCGCGUUGGAUUAGCUAGUUGGUGGGGUAAAAGCCUACCAAGGCGACGAUCCAUAGCUGGUCUGAGAGGAUGAUCAGCAACAUUGGGACUGAGACACGGCCCAAACUCCGCCGGGAGGCAGCAGUGGGGAAUAUUGGACAAUGGGGGCAACCCUGAUCCAGCCAUGCCGCGUGAGUGAUGAAGGCCUUAGGGUUGUAAAGCUCUUUCACCGGGGAAGAUAAUGACGGUACCCGGAGAAGAAGCCCCGGCUAACUUCGUGCCAGCCGCCGCCGUAA